GUAAGAUCAAUAGUCGAGAAGGAAGAGCUCAAGGCUGAUUUGAGUUGGCAUUUUUUUUACUAUUUACAGAUUUGAAGGACCUAAAGUACGAUGAUAAUGGAGCUGCAACUGAACCACUGUGAAAUGGAGACCCGAGACAGCAACCGAGACUGACCCUUGGAGGAGCUCCUUCUAUUUUCCCGGCCACUCCCACACACUUAAGGCCGGGUGAAGGAGUAGAAAGCGGAGCUGGGUCAGAACAAAUGUUCGCAUGAAAGUUGAAUGAUGGCUGCAAGCCAAAGCCAGAAUGGAAAUCACGAACGCAGCACGGACACUAAAGAGGAAUCGCGCUUGCUGGCCAUGUCCGAGUGGAGACCCGGGAAAGGGGUUGCUGGUUGCUGGUUGCUGGUUGCUGGGGGCAGGAUGUUGUCGGGUAUGUAAACAAGCGACGUUUCACAAGUAAUUUGAAAUUGCAUUUAAAGUGCCUUAAAUGCUUGACAUUAGUCGACGGGGGACCGGGAACUGGGAACGGACUUCAUUAGCGCAGUUUUUGUGCACAACAUGGCGUAUGAUUAAUAUGACGAGUAGUAUACGAGCCAGUAAUGAACUUAACAUAAUCUUUAGCCCAUCACGGGCAUCACGGCAUCCUUCCUGGACAUUCAUGGGCGGUGGCUAAUUGUUUUCAGCUCCGAGAGAGAGAGAGAGAGAGAGAGAGCUGUUGCAUAACAGCAGCUCCGGAACAUUAGGAAGCCCGGAAUCAGUUGAGCAGAAAACGGAAAUACAGGAUGAAGGAGUGAGGAGUGAGGAGUGAGACACCAGCGUUUGGCCUGGAAACGGGCAAUAAAAUUUCGGUCAAAACGCCAAGGCAAAAGGAGGCAUAUAGAUAAGCGUCAAACAGUUCACACAUUUCCAUGCCAUGCCCUGUCCCCUCUCUGGAAGUUCGCUCAGGCGUGAAUAUUAAACGUUUUGCUUAGAAAUGCUACUACCAACAUCCUUCGUUCGCCAGCAGUUCCAUCCCUCGGAAAAAGCAAGAAAAAAAAAGAAAAUAAUAAAACCCAUUUCCAUCCCCGCAACUUCAUGUCCAGGCGACAUGUUUGGGCAAACUUUUGCGGGAAAAGUUCUUUCUCUCUGGCAGAAAGUUGGCCCAGUUGGAUGGAAUGGAAAUAUGAAGCCGGUAGAGACUCUGGAGGAGCAGAUAUGUGUCCUGGGAGGCAAGUUGCAGAUAGCUUUAGUUUGGUUAAGCAACGAGCUGGAAGAUCGCCGGCCAGCAAUUACAUCAGUUCAUAGUGAAUUCAAUUUCCGGGAAAUUAUGCUGGAGUAGCUACCAGGAAAAUUGUGUUAUAUAUAACUUUGGUUACGCUUCUUCCAACAUUUAAAUAAAUAACUUGAUAUCCUUUCGAAA